UUCAUAGCAUCAGUCAAGUGUAUGGUCCUAUUACCUAGAAGACUGCGCACAAUUUUACAAAAGAUUUAAUUAAGCAUAUCAUUAAAGUCUCUUUUCAUGAUUCAGCAACUUUCUCGAAGAGCUGAAUUUUUGAAAAUUGUUCGAUAUAAUCACAUGGACAAAACUGGACACUUUAUUCGUUCUCCUCAGAUUUCAAAAGGAAUUGUCAAGCAGGUAACUGAUAUUUCACCAACUAUCAAAUUGUUAAAUAUCUACAUUGAGAAUCAAAAGUUUAAUUUUAAACCAGGUCAAUGGUA
rnacentral:lncRNA from 1 species